UAGUAGUGAACUUCAGUGCCAGUGUUGCUGCAUAGAGAGACCCCAGCCCCCAACAUCAGUAAACCGUUCCCUGGGCUAAUACUGCGCAAAUCGUUCAGUACCUGAAGAGUUUUUAAAGGAAGUGGACACUAAUGUGGAAAUACAUAAUGGCACUGUCUUUCAGGAGUUGGCUGCUGCCUACACAGAUGAUGAAAGCCUAACAACUUGGAACAUGUCUAGAAAUUCACUGCAGGCUAUCCAUGUAAAGGUUGUGAUAUCUAGGAACUCAAUGCUUCACUACGAA